UCUUCCUCUUUAGAUUUGUUUUUGUUUCUUUUGCCGCAAGGAAGAAAGGAAGAGACGAGCAAAGCUGCGAGCAGCGGUCGAGCGAUCGAUCGAGCGAUUGAGUGGUUUCAUCACGGAGAAGAUCAAAAUGUCUGGAGGAGGGGGAAAAAAUGACUACUAGAAUCUGGUUCAAGAGCAGCUCCCCGAGCUCGACUACUGUGUCAAUGACAGCCCUCCUCUCGAGGGAAAGAAGACAUAACAAGAAGAGCAAGCAACCGAUUUAGUUCUCUCUAUCAGCGAUCGAGAAGAAGAAGACGCUCAAAGAAAGUUCAAGGUUUUCCAGAAAACAAGAAAACUUACAUCGUUUCCCAUGGCAUAAACGAGAGGAGUCGUGACCAAAACCGUUGUUCCGACCAUGGUAAGAUAGUGCUGGAAUCCGACAACAAUGGUCUCGGCUGCUCACUCUUUGCGAGCGGCAUCAAGACGCUCAUCCAGUCCUUCCUUGGAACCAGGCUUCCGGCCAUUGUGGGGGGCUCCUACGCUUACAUCCUCCCCAUCUUCAGCAUCAUCAACUCUCCCAAGCUGCGAGCCAUCAGACGAUCGCGAGAGGUUUCUUCACUCGAUGAAAGCUAUCCAGGGAACUCUCAUCUGUGCCUCCAUUCUCCAGAUAGUCCUUGGCUUCAGUGCACUCUGGGGUAUUUUUUCAAGGUGUAGUUUAAGACUCGAUCGUUUCUUUUUGUUUGACGAUAUAGUCGUGAGCCA